AGAAAUUUAGGUUACAUUAAACCAAGGACCUUCAAAGCCCUAAACAGGACCCCACCACCCCUAAUUUCUG
rnacentral:tRNA from 1 species